UCUUUGGAGCAACGUACGGAAAUCAAAUUCCAAAAAUGGAUUACCCAUCUACAUGCUGACCAGUUAUGAUUCAGCCUGAUAAAGAAUCAACUAGAAACACUUACAGUCUGUCUCUAGAACACAAGCUUAGAGAGAACAUAAGCCCAUUGGCUCACCUUCUCGUGAAAACAGCUUGCCACACCCAAAAUUUACAUUGAAAACGACGCAGACGAGUUCUCACUUGGUGAAGGAAAGAAUUUGACGUUUACCUACAACGUUACGUCUUAUCCUGCUGCCGAUAUCUUUUGGUGGCGUUU